rnacentral:rRNA from 1 species
AUUGAACGCUGGCGGCAGGCUUAACACAUGCAAGUCGAGCGAGCGGCGGACGGGUGAGUACUGUCUGGGAAACUGCCUGAUGGCUGGGGAUAACUACUGGAAACGGUAGCUAAUACCUCAUACCAUCAGAUGUGCCCAGAUGGGAUUAGCUAGUAGGUGGGGGAAUGGCUCACCUGGGCGACGCUCCCUAGCUGGUCGGAGCGGAUGACCAGCCAAACGGGAACUAAGCCACGGGCCAGACUCCUACGGGAGGAAGCAGUGGGGAAUAUUGCACAAUGGGCGCAAGCCUGAUGCAGCAAGGCCGCGUGUGUGAAGAAGGCCUUCGGGUUGUAAAGCACUUUCAGAGAGGAGGCGUUACUCGCAGAAGAAGCACCGGCUAACUCCGUGCCAGCAGCCGCGGUAAUAC